CCUUAGAGUUUGAUCCUGGCUCAAGACGAACCCUGGCGGCGUGCCUAACACAUGCAAGUCGAACGGAGUUAAAUUCGACACCCGAGUAUCCGGCCGGGAGGCGGGGUGCUGGGGGUUGGAUUUAACUUAGUGGCGGACGGGUGAGUAACGCGUGAGUAACCUGCCUUUCAGAGGGGGAUAACGUUCUGAAAAGAACGCUAAUACCGCAUAACAUCAAUUUUAUCGCAUGAUAGGUUGAUCAAAGGAGCAAUCCGCUGGAAGAUGGACUCGCGUCCGAUUAGCCAGUUGGCGGGGUAACGGCCCACCAAAGCGACGAUCGGUAGCCGGACUGAGAGGUUGAACGGCCACAUUGGGACUGAGACACGGCCCAGACUCCUACGGGAGGCAGCAGUGGGGGAUAUUGCACAAUGGGGGAAACCCUGAUGCAGCAACGCCGCGUGAGGGAAGAAGGUUUUCGGAUUGUAAACCUCUGUUCUUAGUGACGAUAAUGACGGUAGCUAAGGAGAAAGCUCCGGCUAACUACGUGCCAGCAGCCGCGGUAAUACGUAGGGAGCGAGCGUUGUCCGGAUUUACUGGGUGUAAAGGGUGCGUAGGCGGCGAGGCAAGUCAGGCGUGAAAUCUAUGGGCUUAACCCAUAAACUGCGCUUGAAACUGUCUUGCUUGAGUGAAGUAGAGGUAGGCGGAAUUCCCGGUGUAGCGGUGAAAUGCGUAGAGAUCGGGAGGAACACCAGUGGCGAAGGCGGCCUACUGGGCUUUAACUGACGCUGAAGCACGAAAGCAUGGGUAGCAAACAGGAUUAGAUACCCUGGUAGUCCAUGCCGUAAACGA
rnacentral:rRNA from 1 species